rnacentral:lncRNA from 1 species
UUUGACAUUUUUUGGAAGUAAACAAAUAUUGAAGAAAGUGUUGUGCCUUCACAGAAUUUAAAUUGGCAUUAGGAAUAGAUUUCCUUGAUUUAGUAAUGAUAUUGCUCAUAGAAAUUGAUAAUGUGAAGAAUAACAAUACAGGAACAUAGAAUAACAAGAAAUUCUAGCAGCAAGUUAGGUUAUGAGAUAAAUUUUAUUUAUAUAGUUUGUUUAAAGAGUUUAGUUUGAAAAAAAGUUAAAACAAUUAUUAUUGUCCAGGUCAUAUUUGAUAACUGUUAAUUGAUAACAUAUUACAGGGACACAGUAAAAAGACAAAACAUUUAGACUCUUUGAAAGAGAAAUGUUUGCAAUGGAUAUUAAUAAAUUCUAGCCAAUUUGUACGAUGUACAAUGCAGGCAAUAUUUCUGCCUCCUAACGCACUAUUCGCUUAAAAGAAGAUGUGGGUAUUGUAUUUAUACCUAGAACAGAUUUAUUAUUAGUUGGCUAGUGUGUUAGUAGGAUAGCCAUUGGUAGUUAUAAAGUAUGAAGUCGUCAGGUAUUAAUAAUAGGAAUUGAU